rnacentral:pre_miRNA from 1 species
UAUGUACUUCCUCCGUUCCGAAUUACUUGUCUUAGAUUUGUCUAGAUACGGAUGUAUCUAGCACUAAAAUGAGUCUAGAUACAUCCGUAUGUAGACAAAUCCAAGACAAGUAAUUCGGAACGGAGGGAGUAGUUC